CCAGAGAACUUAGCAGAGAUGCUUGGUGCUUCGGGAACUCUGAGACAGGUGCUGCAUGGCUGUCGUCAGCUCGUGUUGUGAAAUGUUGGGUUAAGUCCCGCAACGAGCGCAACCCUUAUCCUUUGUUGCCAGCGGCUCGGCCGGGAACUCAAAGGAGACUGCCGGUGAUAAACCGGAGGAAGGUGGGGAUGACGUCAAGUCAUCAUGGCCCUUACGGCCAGGGCUACACACGUGCUACAAUGGCGCAUACAAAGAGAAGCGACCUCGCGAGAGCAAGCGGACCUCAUAAAGUGCGUCGUAGUCCGGAUUGGAGUCUGCAACUCGACUCCAUGAAGUCGGAAUCGCUAGUAAUCGUAGAUCAGAAUGCUACGGUGAAUACGUUCCCGGGCCUUGUACACACCGCCCGUCACACCAUGGGAGUGGGUUGCAAAAGAAGUAGGUAGCUUAACCUUCGGGAGGGCGCUUACCACUUUGUGAUUCAUGACUGGGGUGAAGUCGUAACAAGGUAAGCGUAGCGAG
rnacentral:rRNA from 1 species